rnacentral:rRNA from 1 species
GAUGAACGCUGGCGGCGUGCCUAAUACAUGCAAGUCGAGCGAAUGGAUUAAGAGCUUGCUCUUAUGAAGUUAGCGGCGGACGGGUGAGUAACACGUGGGUAACCUGCCCAUAAGACUGGGAUAACUCCGGGAAAACGGGGCUAAUACCGGAUAACAAUUUGAACCCCAUGGUUCGAAAUUGAAAGGCGGCUUCGGCUGUCACUUAUGGAUGGACACGCGUCGCAUUAGCUAGUUGGCGAGGUAACGGCUCACCAAGGCAACGAUGCGUAGCCGACCUGAGAGGGUGAUCGGCCACACUGGGACUGAGACACGGCCCAGACUCCUACGGGAGGCAGCAGUAGGGAAUCUUCCGCAAUGGACGAAAGUCUGACGGAGCAACGCCGCGUGAGUGAUGAAGGCUUUCGGGUCGUAAAACUCUGCUGUUAGGGAAGAACAAGUGCUAGUUGAAUAAGCUGGCACCUUGACGGUACCUAACCAGAAAGCCACGGCUAACUACGUGCCAGCCGCCGCGGUAA